CAGUCAUUCCGAAGGUUGCAUGAAAACAGACACCCGCCUUUCUGGAAGCACAUGCAGCAGUGGAGGUGGAGCUCCGGAGAAGGGACGCACCAGGGGAUGCAAUUCUAUGCAGUGCAAUGCAAAGCAAGGGUGCUUCGAAGCAGUGAUACAUCGAAGAAGUAAUGCACACGCAGCAUGUGGUGUUUGCAUGGAAGCGCCGGAUUGUUGAAGCUUAAAUUGCCACGAACGCUACGAAUGCUGCUACUGUUGCUUCUGCUGCUGCUGCCAAACAGCUAGUAUUGUUUCACGCCUUGGAAUUCAUGCUUCAGCUUUCUAGUUCCCUUCUGCUUACCAUCUAGAAGGGCUGAAUCCACUGCAGCAGCAGGAGAUUGAGUCGCUUCUACCUUGCAGUUCUUCAGUCCCAGUCGGGCGUGUCACGUUUAAUGCAGGCUCGGCUGCUGACAACUCAGUCCUCGUGGUUCAGCGUUUUGUCGGUGGGUCCAUGGGGUUUACAGCGGCUCUUCUCGCGACUGGUGUAGCAGCUCUUGUGAAACCUAAGUUGUGAUGCAGACUGAUCGACUGUUCAACAUGAGCGUGUUGCACCGCGAGUAGAAGGCAUGGACGAGGGUGCUCCUCCAACUCCUGUGGUACUCGAAAGUUCGCUUUCCAGCUCCAUUAUGGACUUGGGCCAGACAGAAGGAUACCACCACAAUUUCGGCACUCCGUAUGGGAGGGAGGGUCGCGAGGGUAAUUUGGACGAAGGUAACAUCCGCGUUGGUAAUGGCGGAGGAGUAGGAGUUGGGGAGGAUGAAGAGGAUAAGCUAGACAAGGAAUGCGAAGGGAUGGGGAGGAAGCGACGGGCCGAAAUCUGGCAGGAUGCUGAAAUGGACGCUCUUGUAAGAGCCUUUCGGGAGGUUCAUAUGAAGCUCACAUCGGCAGCCGGGAAUGGAAAGAAAGUGAAGCAGAUUUUCAAGUCAGCUAAUGAUAAGUGGCAGGAAGUCAGGAUGCUACUUCUAGCCUCGGGAGUGGACAGACAGCCCAAAGAAAUCGAACGGAAGUGGUCUAACCUUUCGACCGCGUUUAAGCAGAUCGCUGACUGGAACAAUAACAAAAAAAUGGGGCGCCCAAGUUAUUGGGAUUUGGACGAGACCUUGAAGAAGGAGAAGACCAAGGCGAAGGAGCUCCCAGCCACAUUUAGGGUGCAGCUUUUUGAAGCCAUGGCGGAGUUUAUGGGUGACCGCCAGGGCCCUCGUAGUCGAUCUCCCGCACAAGCGGCCUCUCCUGGAUUUCUGCCAGUAUUUUGUCUUCCUCGUCCGUCUCCUGCUCCAGGGGUGGUUGAGGUACCAUUGCCUUUGGAGAAGCUCGGUAUCCAUGGCAACCGCUUAGAUGCUGCAAAUCAGAAAAGGCGUCGGGUUGUUAUUCUAGCUCCAGGCCGUUUUAAUCCACCCACGUACAUGCAUCUUCGCAUGUUUGAGUUGGGAAGGGAUGCACUUGUAGCAGAAGGGUAUCAUGUGUUGGGGGGGUACAUGUCUCCUUUCAAUGACCUGUGCCACAAGAAGGGGCUUGCUCCCGCAGAGCAGCGUAUCAGGAUGUGCGAAUUAGCUGUUGCUGAUUCUCCUUUUAUAAUGGUCGAUCCGUGGGAGGCUAAGCAGAACUCAUACCAAAGAACGCUUACUGUAUUGGCUAGGAUCGAUAUGUUGGUUAACUUCAAUAACUUCGCCCCUGAUGAAAAAGUAAAAGUGAUGCUGCUUUGUGGAACUGAUGUGUUAGAGUCCAUUGCAACUCCUGGGGUAUGGUUGUCGGAUCAGGUGAGAACACUAUUGCAUGAAUAUGGAAUUGUGUGUAUAAACCGAGACGACAAGGAUGCACGACGCCUUGUGUUUGAACACGAAAUUCUGUAUAAUAAUCGAAGACAGAUAUUGGUGGUGGAUGGAGUUAUUGAAAAUAAUAUAAGUACUGCUGCAAUAAGGCGAAAUUUGUCGAGGGGCUUGUCAGUAAAGUAUUUGAUUCCUGAUUCAGUAAUCGACCAUAUCAAUAUGAACCACGUAUAUUCAUAAUGUUAUCUCUUCGCAAUGAAGCUUGUUGCAGCAAACCUAUGUGAGCUAGAUGACCAGCUUGCAUGUUGACAUAAUGUUGGAGGAACCACGCAAUCGACUCGAUUAACCCAACUUCUAUUUCCAGGUUAGUCUGCUUCAGAAGUAGGCACUGCACAAAGUCUUCAUUCAGAAUCGUUCUUGAGCACCGUAAUUAAGAAUGUGUCUUGUCUUCAGCAAUUGUGGACCUGCUUGACAGUGUCUUCUGCAGUUUAAACUGUACGCGGCUAUCUGUAACUGAUUUUGUUUUACAAUCAAUCUAAAUGGCAGAGUAAUUAUGUACUUCAUUAUGCCUCCGUAGUUCGAAAUAUGAAUUUCAUGCCGUUAGAGGAUUUUCUACGAAAAUGUAUUUGUUCUCUCUCAAGACAACCUCGCGAUUUCGAAGUA